rnacentral:rRNA from 1 species
GACAGAGGGUGCAAACGUUGUUCGGAAUUACUGGGCGUAAAGCGCGUGUAGGCGGCAGGGCAUGUCGGAUGUGAAAUCCCGUGGCUCAACCACGGAAGUGCACCCGAAACUGCCCAGCUUGAGUCUCGGAGAGGAAGGCGGAAUGCUUGGUGUAGAGGUGAAAUUCGUAGAUAUCAAGCAGAACACCUGCGGCGAAGGCGGCCUUCUGGACGGUGACUGACGCUGAGACACGAAAGCGUGGGGAGCAAACAGG